rnacentral:Y_RNA from 1 species
AGCUGGUCUGAAGUAGUGAGCCAUCUCAGCUGAUGCCUCACAGUUACAGACCCAACUCCGUUCUGCACAUUCCUCCUUCUCAUUCCUGCACUUGACUAGUGAA